ACGGGUGAGUACAACAUGAGAAGCUGUCCUUCAGCGGGGGACAACGUCUGGAAGCGGACGCUAAUACCCCAUAGGCCGAGAGGUUAAAGCAGAGAUGCGCUGGAGGAGGUGCUCGUGCCCUAUCAGCUAGUUGGUGAGGUAACGGCUCACCAAGGCGACGACGGGUAGCCGGCCUGAGAGGGUGAACGGCCACACUGGAACUGAGAUACGGUCCAGACUCCUACGGGAGGCAGCAGUGGGGAAUAUUGGGCAAUGGGAGGAAUCCUGACCCAGCGACGCCGCGUGAACGAUGAAGGCCUUAGGGUUGUAAAGUUCUUUUAUGUGGGAAGAAGGAAGUGACGGUACCACAUGAAUAAGCCCCGGCUAACUACGUGCCAGCAGCCGCGGUAAUACGUAGGGGGCGAGCGUUGUCCGGAAUUACUGGGCGUAAAGGGCACGCAGGCUGUGAUUCAAGUCAGCUGUAAAAGGAUGCGGCUUAACCGUGUUUAGCAGUUGAAACUGGAUGACUGGAGUGCUGGAGAGGCAAGUGGAAUUCCCAGUGUAGCGGUGAAAUGCGUAGAUAUUGGGAAGAACAUCGGUGGCGAAGGCGACUUGCUGGCCAGUAACUGACGCUGAGGUGCGAAAGCCAGGGUAGCAAACGGGAUUAGAUACCCCGGUAGUCCUGGCUGUAAAC
rnacentral:rRNA from 1 species